AAAGAGACUGUUCUCCGCCCCCUAAUGGUUACUGCGACUGCCAGUCUCAAAGAUGGCGGCUGAUGUUGCGUUGUGGGAUUGAUUCUAGUCUGUCAAAGCUCAGCAAAUAGGCAAACAAGAACAAAUACUCUAAUCCUCCUAGGCAGCAAUGCCAGUGUUCUGAGACAGGGAUUUGGGGGCUUUCUUUUCAGCUUCAGCUGAAGUAAAAGGGCAUUUGCCCUGGGUUCUCACGUUUAUGGAGAGAUAUUUAUUGUGACUCAUUUGGAAUAUUAGAAACACAUUUGGAAUGUUAGAAACGUGUGGAAAGAGUCCAGUCCGAUGGAGCUGACAGUGAUUAAAAGUAUGAAGAAAUAUUUUUACCAUCUGCCUACAAAAGCCCUUUAGCCAAGAAGAACAAACAAAGAGGAGCUGUUCUUCGGUUCCCCUUGGCGCGAGUCGCUGCACACGAAGCUGCUUCCAAGCUGCCAUUAAAAUUCACUCAGAAUAA